CCUACGGGAGGCAGCAGUGGGGAAUUUUGCACAAUGGGGGAAACCCUGAUGCAGCGACGCCGCGUGCAGGAAGAAGUAUUUCGGUAUGUAAACUUCUAUCAUCAUGGAAGAAAAUGACAGUCCCUUACUAAGAAGCCCCGACUAACUACUUGCCAGCAUCCGCGGUACUACGUAGGGAGCAAGCGUUAUCCGGAUUUACUGGGUGUAAAGGGAGCUAAGGCGGUAAUGCAAGUCAGAAGUGAAAGCCCGGGUCUCAACUCCGGGACUGCUUUUGAAACUGUGUUGCUAGAUUGCAGGAGAGGUAAGUGGAAGUCCGAGUGUAGCGGUGAAAUGCGUAGAUAUUAGGAGGAACACCAGUGGCGAAGGCGGCUUACUGGACUGUAAAUGACGCUGAGGCUCGAAAGCGUGGGGAGCAAACAGGAUUAGAUACCCGAGUAGUC
rnacentral:rRNA from 1 species